GAUCCUAAACGUAGCAUGACUUGCUCAAGUUAACAAAUUUUUAUUCUUUGAAAAUAACCACAGAAAAUUCACAGUGAGAAUCAGCUAAUAGUAGCGAUCGACAAAGGGAGACUCGUUGCAGCAAUUUAACAUGGGACCAGCGGAAACACCACAGAGAAAAUAAAUAGACCGGCAAGAUGGAACAGGAUUGGACCUUUUUCUCCCCAAGAAAGUUCCUGAUCUCGAUGGAGGUGUUGUUGUUGGGGAUGGACGCGUUGAUUGGGAAGUGGGCGUAGACGAGGCGCAUCUUGUAACGGUACCCUUUGGUGACCCCGGCGAUGAGGUUCUGGACGUGGCUGAUGGCAGUGCGUAUGGCAGCUGUGGUCUUCCGCGACCCGAACCAUGCAUCCACCUUCAGCUUCUUCCCGCUCUCGAUGAGAUCGAAAUCGAGGUUGAGGUGCUUGAAGUCACGGGUGAGCUUGCCGCGCGGACCCUCCACCUCCACGAUCUUCGCGUUCACCUUCACCGUGACUCCCUCGGGGAUGUCCAUGGUCUGCGAGGAAAGGAUCGUCUUCAUCUCGCUGCUCUCUCUUUCCGCCGCCUCC
rnacentral:lncRNA from 1 species